UACGUAGGUGGCGAGCGUUAUCCGGAUUUACUGGGUGUAAAGGGCGUGUAGGCGGGACUGCAAGUCAGAUGUGAAAACCACGGGCUCAACCUGUGGCCUGCAUUUGAAACUGUAGUUCUUGAGUACUGGAGAGGCAGACGGAAUUCCUAGUGUAGCGGUGAAAUGCGUAGAUAUUAGGAGGAACACCAGUGGCGAAGGCGGUCUGCUGGACAGCAACUGACGCUGAGGCGCGAAAGCGUGGGGAGCAAACAGG
rnacentral:rRNA from 2 species